rnacentral:rRNA from 1 species
CCUACGGGGGGCAGCAGUAGGGAAUAUUGCUCAAUGGGGGAAACCCUGAAGCAGCAACGCCGCGUGGAGGAUGAAGGUUUUCGGAGUGGAAACUCCUUUUGUUAGAGGAGAUAAUGACGGUAUCUAACGAAUAAGCACCGGCUAACUCCGGGCCAGCAGCCGCGGGAAUACGGAGGGUGCAAGCGUUACUCGGAAUUACUGGGCGUAAAGGGCGCGUAGGCGGGAUAGCAAGGCAGAUGUGAAAUCCUAUGGCUUAACCAUAGAACUGCAAUUGAAACUGUUAUUCUAGAGUAUGGGAGAGGUAGGUGGAAUGCGUGGUGUAGGGGUAAAAUCCGUAGAGAUCAAGAGGAAUACUCAUUGCGAAGGCGACCUGCUAGAACAUAACUGACGCUGAUGCGCGAAAGCGUGGGGAGCAAACAGGAUUAGAUACCCGAGUAGUC